rnacentral:rRNA from 1 species
UGGGGAAUUUUGGACAAUGGGCGCAAGCCUGAUCCAGCCAUGCCGCGUGUCUGAAGAAGGCCUUCGGGUUGUAAAGGACUUUUGUUAGGGAAGAAAAGGAUAGUGUUAAUACCAUUAUCUGCUGACGGUACCUAAAGAAUAAGCACCGGCUAACUACGUGCCAGCAGCCGCGGUAAUACGUAGGGUGCGAGCGUUAAUCGGAAUUACUGGGCGUAAAGCGAGCGCAGACGGUUUAUUAAGCAAGAUGUGAAAUCCCCGAGCUUAACUUGGGAACUGCGUUUUGAACUGGUAAGCUAGAGUAUGUCAGAGGGGGGUAGAAUUCCACGUGUAGCAGUGAAAUGCGUAGAGAUGUGGAGGAAUACCGAUGGCGAAGGCAGCCCCCUGGGAUAAUACUGACGUUCAUGCUCGAAAGCGUGGGUAGCAAACA